rnacentral:rRNA from 1 species
GAUGAACGCUGGCGGCGUGCCUAAUACAUGCAAGUCGAGCGAACGGACGAGAAGCUUGCUUCUCUGAUGUUAGCGGCGGACGGGUGAGUAACACGUGGAUAACCUACCUAUAAGACUGGGAUAACUUCGGGAAACCGGAGCUAAUACCGGAUAAUAUUUUGAACCGCAUGGUUCAAAAGUGAAAGACGGUCUUGCUGUCACUUAUAGAUGGAUCCGCGCUGCAUUAGCUAGUUGGUAAGGUAACGGCUUACCAAGGCAACGAUGCAUAGCCGACCUGAGAGGGGGAUCGGCCGCACUGGAACUGAGACGCGGUCCAGGCUCCUAAGGGAGGCAGCAGUAGGGAAUGUUCCGCAAUGGGCGGGAGCCUGACGGAGCAACGGCGCGUGAGUGGUGAAGGUCUUCGGAUCGUAAAACUCUGUUAUUAGGGAAGAACAUAUUUGUAAGUAACUGUGCACAUCUUGACGGUACCUAAUCAGAAAGCCACGGCUAACUACGUG